AUGAACGCUGGCGGCGUGCCUAAUCCCUGCCAGUCGCGCGAACAGACGAGGAGCUUGCUCCUCUGACGUUAGCGGCGGACGGGUGAGUAACACGUGGAUAACCUACCUAUAAGACUGGGAUAACUUCGGGAAACCGGAGCUAAUACCGGAUAAUAUAUUGAACCGCCUGGUUCAAUAGUGAAAGACGGUUUUGCUGUCACUUAUAGAUGGAUCCGCGCCGCAUUAGCUAGUUGGUAAGGUAACGGCUUACCAAGGCAACGAUGCGUAGCCGACCUGAGAGGGUGAUCGGCCACACUGGAACUGAGACACGGUCCAGACUCCUACGGGAGGCAGCAGUAGGGAAUCUUCCGCAAUGGGCGAAAGCCUGACGGAGCAACGCCGCGUGAGUGAUGAAGGUCUUCGGAUCGUAAAACUCUGUUAUUAGGGAAGAACAAAUGUGUAAGUAACUAUGCACGUCUUGACGGUACCUAAUCAGAAAGCCACGGCUAACUACGUG
rnacentral:rRNA from 1 species